GAUUUUGCAGCGCCCUGAGCGAAUUCCUUGACGCUAUUAAGCCAGUCUGCAACAUCCUUAUAAAUCUCAUUUCCUUGUUGAGUAGCGUGAUGAACUGGUAUUUCCACCCUUUCUCUUUUAUGUUCCAGCUGCUUCACUUGAUCUUUUAGCUCUUCUAUGUAGCUCUGGUACUUGAAUACAUAAGAUAUUUGCCGUAUAAUCGGUUUGAACAGUGACUUUGCA
rnacentral:lncRNA from 1 species